ensembl:lncRNA
AUCUGAGUAAACACAAAAUACAAUAUUUAUUUAUUUAUUCGUUUAUUUAUUCAUUUUAUCAAAGCAAAAAAAAAAAAGUUAUCCAACACCUAUCACCCUUGUGAAAAACUAAUAGCCCCCUUAAACUUCAAAUCUGCUUGUGCCACCUUUAGCAGUAAUAACUGCAACCAAACACUUCCGAUAGCUGGAGAUCAGUCUUUCACGUUCUUCUAGCACUAGUACUUACUCAUAUGCUUUGGAUCAUUGUCUUGCUAAAUAUUACAGUUGCGCUUGAGUUUGAGUUUAUGGACUGAAGACCGGGCAUUCUCCUUUAGGAUUUUCUGGUAGAGAGCAGAAUUCAUGUUUCCCUUCAAUUAUUGCAAGGUUCUAAGUAUUGAAGCAGAAAAGCAUCCCCAUAUCAUCACACUGCCACCACCAUGCUUGACUGUAGGUAUGAUGUUCUUUUUGUGGAAUUCUGUGUUUGGUUUAUGCCAGAUGUAACAGGACAGUGGAACUGUUCUAAACAGUUUCACUUUCAACUCAUCAGUCCACAGAUCAUUCUCCCAAAAGGUUUGACGAUCAUCAAGGUGUGUUUUGGCAAAAUUCAGACAAGCCUUAAUGUUCUUCUGGGUUAUCAGUGGUUUUCACCUUGCCACUCUGCCAUGGAUGCCAUUUUUGCCCAGUGUCUUUCUGAUAGUGGAGUCAUGAACAGUGACCUUUAUUGAUGCAAGAGAGGCCUGAAAGUCCUUUGAUGUUGUCCUUGUCUGUUUUGUGACUUGCUGGAUGCAUAGUUGCUGUGCUCUUGGAGGAAUUUUGGAAGGUCAGCCACUUCUGGGAAGGUUCCCUACUGUGCCGUUUUUCUAUUUGGCGGUAAUGGCGCUUACUGUGGUUCUUUGGAGUCCCAGAAACUUUGAAAUAGUUUUGUAACCCUUCCCAGACUGUUUUUCAAUCACCUUCUUCCAUAGUGUAUUACUGUGUAUUACUGUGUAUUACUUCAUAUGCAUAUGCAAGACCUUUUAACCAACUUCAAGCUGUUGAAAAAGUUCUAUUUAAGUGUUGAUUUGAUUGAACAGGGUUUGCAGUAAUCAGACCUGGUUGUGUCUAGUCCAGCUGAACCCCAUUAUGAAUGCAGUUUCAUAGAUUUGGGGAAUUAGUAGAUACGAGGGCAAAUACAUUUUCACACAGGCCCAGUUGGUACUGAAUAACUUUUUUGUUAUUGGAUAACCCUCCAUUAAUAUUGGCACCCUUGGUAAAUAUAAGCAAAGAAGGCUGUGGAAAAAUUGUCUUUAUUGUGUAACCUUUUGAUCUUUUGUUAAAAAAAAAAUUCACAAAAAUACUCUGCUCUCAUGGAUAUCAAACAAUUGAAAAACACAACACAAGUUUAUCAAAAAAAAAAUCUUUGUUAAAUAUAGGUUUUAUAAUCAAUGGAUUAAAAAUGUUCUGUUACAAACAUUACCAAAGAUAAAUAUAUACUCAUUGAUAUGAUGGAUUUUUCUGUAUGAUGCUGAUUUAUCAUUUAUGGAAGGAAUCUCUAGUAUCAGGGCUUUGUAACAGUCAGAAUGUCUUAAACCAUGGAAGAGUUUUCAAGACAGAGGACUUUGUGAAUUUCCAGUUUCUCUGCAACAUGACCAGCUGUGUGGUUUUUGUUGUUGUUUGUUUGUUUGUUUGUUUUUGUCUUAUUCAUGUUAAGAGAGCGAGAAAAUACAAAGAAUGGUGAAGGAACAGCUGUUUAUGGCUGUUAUAACAUAAGUUAUGAACAUUCUACAACAUUAUAUGUAACUAUAAUUGGAUCAAAAGUACCAUGCAUCAUUCAUUAUAAUAAAUAGUAAAUAAAUAAUAUAAUAAAGAAAGAAAUGUUGUAAUUGUUGGCAUAUUGCUAUGGCAUAAGCGGAAUAAAGCACUUAUAAUCACACCAACUUCGCAUUAAUUAUUUUCCAAUAACAGCACACGCCAUCAUAUUUUAUUCCUUACAUAUAUUGUGUACAAAAAUAUGCCUCAGCCAUGUAAACUUAGGUUACUGGAAUACACAAAUGGUUUGAAGGAUGUAUAAAUGUUUUAAUUUUGAAGGUACCUAGAACAUUUAGCAUUUUGAACGAGUUCGAUCUCAACUGCUAGACCUUACUCACUUUCAGUAAUCCUGCUCAGGGUUGUGAUGGAUCCGGAGUCUAUCCUGGUAACACUGGGAGCAAGGUGAGACAAUUCACCCCAGAUGGGUUGCCAGUACAUUGAAUGAUCAUAAAAAUGUCCUCAGGUUGCUUUUCUGACCCAUUUGCCAAUAAUUAUCUGCAAUAUCUUUCAACGAACUCAUCUAUAGGUUUCAAAUCAUGUAGUGCUAUUUAUUACAAGGCCCUCUAUAUGACUGGAACUUUAUAACUGAGCUGUUCGCAAUGAUGCCAAGAAUCUUAUCUGGGUAUCAGACAGAAAUCCCAGCCAAAAACCAAUUUGGACUUACUUCCAUUGUAAAAAGGAAUCCAAGCACAGAUAAUUCAGGCAUAGGACUAGCAAGAAAAUGCUUUCCAUAAUAAUAGCCUAUAGUUUACUUGAAUAACAGAUGAAAAUAUGUGAUGAGAUUGAGCAGCUCUGUUGCAGGACUGAAAGCUGGGAUGCAGUGAAGUGCUGCAGGGAGAUUCGUCUCCUCCCCCACACGUGUGUGCCUCUGUAUUAAUGACUGAGGCUCACCUCGCCGGGUCAAACCCAUUCAGCCCUGCUGAUGGAUCUCGUCUGCACUCCUCUCAUGUCCUGCUUCAUCUGUCUUGCAGUGCUACAGCAGGGAGGACCACUCAGAAACUCUGCAGAGAGCGAACAGUGGUGCAGAGAUGGGGUAUUGUCACAGAGCUCAAGAAUUCAUGAACAAAUAUCUACAGACAUAUAUGCACACACACACACACACACACACACAGUCUGGCCUAUUAAAAGUACUAUAAUCAAAAACUGUUAACUCUGCCUGUGCAUACCCAAAGCUAAUUGCUAUUUUGUGGUAAUAAUUUUAUCAGUGCAAAAUUGCACUAAUUGUGUCGCUAAAUAUUUACUGAUAUUUCACUCUGUCAUAAUGCUACAGCAGUAAAUUUAAAAUCUUGAUUUUAGGGUCUCACAAUAUGAUUAACUUCAUAUUAAGGUUAGAAAUUGAUGCUGCUUUUGGCUACACUGUACAGUGGAAAUGUACACUUGGAAUCAAAUAUUUUAUUUGGCACGUUGUGGGCAGAGACUAGAAGUCAUAAUUCACACAAUUCUGUAAUCAUUUUAAGAUAUUGAGCCAUCUGAAAUAAGUUUAACUUUAUAUUUUCAUACUUUUAAGCAAAUAUAUUGGUAUAGCUCUUCACUUUUCUAGCCAGUGGCAAGUAAAUAACAUAUUUAUCACAUUAACUCAUUGUUGCCAAAAGAGUCAUUUAAAACCUUAUGAAUAGAAUCUUAUCUAUCUAAAUUAAUCAUUAUGAUAUAGUAAAUAAUUAGGUCUGAAUAAAAUAUGUCAAUUGAAGUUUUUUUUUUUAUUACACAGCACUCAGGAUAUAGGCUCUUCUACAUCUGAGGACAAGACUGAGGUUAUUCCCCAAUAGCCUGUUGAAAUUAUUAAAUACUGUAGUUACAGUAUUUGUGUGACAAAAAAUAUAAAUUGUCAGAACAAGUACAGGUUCAUUAUUACUCUAUAAGGUUAAAAAAAUGUAAAAAUGUACUCACAAAACUACAAGACUAGACCUUUAUGUUUAAUUAAUGCACCACAAAUUGUUAUUUUUACAAUUAUGUCAACAUUAUAGUACAAAAAUAGGGUACCAUUUCAGUGAUGGUGAAGUGGCAGUGCUAUACAUAUACAAACAUAUAUAUAUAUAUAUAUAUAUAUAUAUAUAUAUAUAUAUAUAUAUAUAUAUAUAUAUAUAUAUAUAUAUAUAUAUAUAUAUGUUGUUACUGAAUAGGAAAUGUGUAAGAUGACAUUUCACAUGAGUAACAAGUGGGUAGGAUUAAAACCUCGCUGCUUGGGGGUCUUCGGUUAUACCCUGAGUUUGGGUUCCUGUCUGUGUGGAGUUUCUCUGCAUGUUCUCCCUGUAGCUUUGUGACUUUCCUCCAGGUUAUCUUUCAUGUGCGUGUGUGUGUGUGUGUGUGUGUGUGUGUGUGUGUGUGUGUGUGUGAUGACCACCGGUUCAUCUGCUGCAUGUUUUCCCCCUUCACACCAGUGUUCCCAGGAUAGACUCUGGAUUCACUGCGGCCCUGAGCAGGAUGGCGCUGUUAAAGAAGAUGACUGAAUGAACAAAAUUAACACUGAACAGUUCUUUAUGUCAAUUUUGAUUAUUGUUUUUUAUUAACUCACCAUAGGCUUGAAUGUAGGUUAAAAUUUAUUUUUUAAAAUCUAGGGUAAGAGUAUAGCAUUUGAUUCUUCUCAGAAAUGGGGCAUGAUGCAGUAUAUAAAUACCAAUAAUUGUGGAAUCUCCAAAUAAAUUUAUUGAAAUACAAUCCCUACAGAGUGCAAAGUGCCCCUUUGGUUGUGGCAGAGUAACGGUCAGCCACAUUUAUGAGUUGUACACAGCUUUGCUUCAAGGCACACAGACAUGUGACUUGUGUAAGCAUGUCAAGGACAUCACAUCCCAUCCCCCCCCCCCCCCCCC